UGGGGAAUAUUGGACAAUGGGCGCAAGCCUGAUCCAGCCAUGCCGCGUGAGUGAUGAAGGCCUUAGGGUUGUAAAGCUCUUUUAGCAGGGAAGAUAAUGACGGUACCUGCAGAAAAAGCCCCGGCUAACUUCGUGCCAGCAGCCGCGGUAAUACGAAGGGGGCUAGCGUUGCUCGGAAUCACUGGGCGUAAAGCGCACGUAGGCGGCUUCUUAAGUCAGGGGUGAAAUCCUGGAGCUCAACUCCAGAACUGCCUUUGAUACUGAGAAGCUUGAGUCCGGGAGAGGUGAGUGGAACUGCGAGUGUAGAGGUGAAAUUCGUAGAUAUUCGCAAGAACACCAGUGGCGAAGGCGGCUCACUGGCCCGGUACUGACGCUGAGGUGCGAAAGCGUGGGGAGCAAACA
rnacentral:rRNA from 1 species